UACGAAGGGUGCAAGCGUUACUCGGAAUUACUGGGCGUAAAGCGUGCGUAGGUGGUUGUUUAAGUCUGUUGUGAAAGCCCUGGGCUCAACCUGGGAACUGCAGUGGAAACUGGAUAACUAGAGUGUGGUAGAGGGUAGCGGAAUUCCCGGUGUAGCAGUGAAAUGCGUAGAGAUCGGGAGGAACAUCCAUGGCGAAGGCAGCUACCUGGACCAACACUGACACUGAGGCACGAAAGCGUGGGGAGCAAACAGG
rnacentral:rRNA from 1 species